CAGAUGUAGAGCUCAGUGAUAUGGUUUAGUUGGAGACUGGUUAGUGUUAGGUCAGAGGUUGGACUCGGUGAUCUUGGAGGUCUCUUCCAACCUAGAUAAUUCUGUUUUUCUGUUGCAGUCUCCCAGCUCAGAGCCAACCAGCUAUUAGUCUGGCGCAACGGAUUUGUGCAUUCCUUGCACUAGCUGUUCCUUCACCUCCUCUUCACGUACAAGGACACGCGUCUCUUUCACGCUCCUUCAGGAGUAAACAAGCCAGGAGAGAUUAAAGCCUCUUUCUCCAGAAAGAUGCUUCUAGUUUCCUUAGUCUCCUUGGAGAGACAGGUAUCUGGAUAUUUAACUUGGAAGAAAGAUGAGCAACACUAGCAAGCUUCCCAAAGCAAAAUUUCCAUUUCCCCCAUACAAGGACGUAAAAGAUGGGAAUAAUUGUGCAUUUAUGGAAGGCUGUCCCAUGUUUUUCCACUGGUUUUCAUCUGGUUUGGUUCACCUGCAGAAAGGGAAGAAGCACCAGAGCUUAUCUCCAUUUUCAAGAGAAGGCAACUGUUUCUGGGACCAAACUGUCAGGCUACAGCAUACGGAUGUAUCAAACAAAGCUUCACGUCAUCUUUCAAAUCCACCCUUUUAUUCGAAUAUUUCUUGAAAAUUAACAUUAAAAGUAGAUAGUGCUUAUACCAUCAUAUCAAAAAUGGUUUUUUUUUCCAAGCUCUUUUCCAGAGUUUCCUAAUUCUCCUGUCAUAUAUAAUUUACCGUGUCUUGGGAUUUUCAGGAUUCCUUGCCAUGUGUUGCAUUUUCUCACCACAAGUUAUUCAACUACGCUAUUCAGAGAGCACAAACCAUCCUGUAUAGUGAAUGAGGCAGGUUUCUUGGGGGAAUUUGGCUUAGUAGUAUUUUAUCACGAUGGAUUAAGGGUGCGUGCGACCCUUGCUGUUACUAACGUCUGAUUUCUUGACUUUGCAAGCUAAUACUAGUUAAUUUAGCUUUUUGUGGGAUAAAAUCCUUGCCUAGUUACCUGUUUGUCUGAGAAACGUAUAUUCUCUUAGAAUCUCCAUGAUUUCGCUGCUUGCUGGGCUAUGUUGGAUGUUGUAUAAAGACAUGAUGUAGCUAUUAUUGGAAUCUGGUAAAAUAUAUGGUGUCAACCUA